AACGGGGGGAGGCAGACGUUAUUCAUCUUUACUGGGCGUAAAGGGUGUGUAGAUUGUAAUAUAAGUAAUAAUUAAAAAAAUUAGUCAUUAAAUAAUAUUUAUUAAAACUGUAUUACUUGAGUUAUUUAGGAGAUUAUGGUACUCUUAAUGAAGAGGUUAAAUUCGGAGAUAUUAGGGGAACUAACAAAGGUGAAAACAAUAAUCUAUAAAUAUACUGACAUUGAGGCACUAAAGCUUGGGUUUCGAAUAGG
rnacentral:rRNA from 1 species